UGAAGCUCAGGAGAACUCUGAGUCCAGAUGUGGACCCUGGUCUCCUCCAGAACCUCCUCUGUUCUGCUGUGGAGGAACUGUGUGGCUUCAGUUCUGCAGCAGGACCUUCUCAGCUGCAGCAGAAGAAGAAAGGACUUCCUGUGUUCAGGUUGGAUAGAAACCUGGAUAUUUUUCUAGCUUGUGGCUCUGCUUCCAGCGUAGAUGUUCUCCAGGGUUCUGAUCUGGAUCUAGUGGACUGUAGAGCUCAUCAGGUUUCCUCUCAUCCACUUUGAGAUCUUCAGCCUCCUUUAGAUUCAACCUGAAGCUUCUUCUGACGGAGCUGCAGCUAAUAUUUAGCAUGAUGUUUAUUAUUCUAGCCUCAGUGUUCUGUUCUUCAUGUGACUCCACUGAAUCCAACUCUGAUGUCGUCCACUUCAGAAGUGAUGAAGAUCCAUUUUUCUUUCUCUUCCUGCUCAUUUCUUUCCAAAGCUCCCAUUUUUUCCAGGAGGAUCUUCAAUGUUCUCCAGCUCUCUUUAGAUGAUGAAGGAACUCAGACUGACUCCACCCGGCUGGUGCUCCAGAGACAAGAGGAUUAAAAUGCUUCAUAGAAACGUUCUCAGAUCUCAGAUCCUCAUUGAACCUGAUGUCUGUAGUUUUAGUCAGAAGCUCUCCCAGAUGUUCCAGAUGAGAAGAUCUGAGCAUCUGGUUUGGUUGAUCCAGAAGGUUCUGGACUCAUCCAGAAACCCAGAACAACUGGACUCCAGUCACACCUUAAACAGAACAUUCUGCUUCUAAAUCCAGACUGGACCGCUUGAUUUCUUUGGACCUGAAACAUAAAGUGCUGUGAAAAGUAUUUGCUCCUUUACAGAUUUCUUCUGUUUUGCCUUUUUGUCCACCUGAAAUGUUUCAGAUCAUCAAUCUGAUUUUAAUAUUUGAUGAAGAAAAACUUAAUUAAAUUCAAUAAACAGUUUUCAAAUGAUGAUUUUAUUCAUUAAAGGAUUCAUGUGAGAAAAUAAUCACAGUCCUUUGUUAAAUCAUGAACUAAUUGUGAUUAAACCACUUUU